UUUAGUAGAGACGGGGUUUCACCGUGUUAGCCAGGAUGGUUUCGAUCUUCUGACCUCGUGAUCCGCCCGUCUCGGCCUCCCAAAGUGCUGGGAUUACAGGCUUGAGCCACCGCGCCCGGCCUCUAGUUUUGUAAUUGUUAAAGAUAGAGUUAAUUUUGAUUUUGUUAGAUGAGGGAGGAAAACUCAACUGUUUCUCUUUGUUAUCUAAAUGUUUCAGAAUUCAGUCGUGAAGGAACAGGCAUUUUACACUAUGAAGACAUUCUUUUGAGAUUUUUUUUUUUUCAGUUGCUAUAUCAUAAGCAUUUUUAAAGUUUCUUUUCUAAUUUUACAUUGUAUUAGAUUUUCUGAUUCUUUUGUAAAUACAGAACUUAAAUAGAAGGCAACAGGAAAUUUAUAUAGGAACUAUUUUCAUUCCACUUGUAUAAGUUAAGUCUUGACUCUUUCAAAUGCAAAAAACAUAUUUUAUGCUUUGUUAAAAUUAUGGUGUCUCUUAGAUUGACUUUAGUUGGCUGUACUAUAUAAUAUAGAACUAUGAAUAUGUAAAAUAACAUGAAAAAUUGGAGGUGCUGGUGGUGUGGCUGACCCUGUUUCAGAAGCAGGAUAGUAUAAAAGCAUCAGCCUGACUAAGAAGGGCACUCCCACUAACUCGCUAUGUAAUCUUGACCUCUUUGGGCUUUAGUUCUUCUCAUAAAAGGAAGAGAUGUGUUGGACUAGACUAGAUGAUUACCACUGUCUCUUCUAGUUCUAAUCUUUUUAAUUAUAAUACCUGUAUUUUCAAGUUAUGUCAAUUAAAUCAUUAUCAGGUUAUUUCCUAAUGUAAGAAUAGCUGAAAUGUUGCAGAGAAAUAAGUGACCCAACAAAAUUUAUUCAUCUGUUAUGGGUAAGAUCUGCCAUAAAUUCUUCCUAAAGAAUUUGUUUACUAACUCUUGAGGCCACUGUGCUUUGCGGUCCAUUAGUAAACUUGUCUUGCUAAGUGCUAAACAGAAUACUGCUAUUUUGAGAGAGUCAAGACUCUUUCUUAAGGGCCAAGAAAGCAACUUGAGCCUUGGGCUAAUCUGGCUGAGUAGUCAGUUAUAAAAGCGUAAUUGCUUUAUAUUUAGGAUCAUUUUUUAUUGGGGGUGGACUUGGGGGGUUGCAUACAAAGAUAACAUAUAUAUCCAAGUUUCUGAAAUGAAAUGUUUUUAGAUUACUUUUUCAACUGUAAAUAAUGUACAUUUAAUGUCACAAAAAAAUUGUCUUCUGCAAAUUUUCUAGUAUAACAGAAAUUUUUGUAGAUGAAAUCAUUAUGUUUAGAGGUCUAAUGUUAUGUUUUCAUAUUACAGAGUGAAUUUGUAUUUAAACAAAAAUUUAAAUUUUGGAAUCCUCUAAACAAUUUUGUAUCUUUAAUUGGUUUAUUAUUAAAUAAAUCAUAUAAAAAUUCUCAGUGUUUCUGUUUUCAGGCAAAAGUUUCUUAAAGAAUAAGUGUACAAAGAAUAUUGCUAGAACAUUAGCAUUACUCCCUUUAAUCUAAAGAUGGUGGCCUCAGCAGCGAGAGGUGCUGUGGCGCUCCGUAGAAAUAUCGAUUGGCCGGUUGCUUUUGUGAGAAAAAUUCCUUGGACUGCGGCGUCGAGUCAGCUGAAAGAAUACUUUGCACAGUUUGGCCAUGUAAAAAGGUGUAUUGUACCUUUUGACAGGGGACUGGCUUUCACAGAGGUUUGGGUUCGGUUCAGUUUUCUUCAGAAGAACAACUUCAGAAUGCACUACAACAGGAAUAUCAUAUUAUAGAUGGAGUAAAGGUCCAGGUUCAAGCUAAAAGGCCAAAAGUUCUGCAAACAUCUGAUGAUGAAGAGAAAGAUUUUUGAGACCGCAGCCUAUUAAUAAAGUUAACAUAACUGAGAAAAAAAAAAAAAGAACAUUAGCAUUACUUAAUGUUUAUAAAUAAACAAACUCCAUUACUCAGAAUUGCAGGAUAUCAUCCUUUCACUUUUCCUUUAUAGCAGGCCAAAUGACAGUUUCUAAACAUCACACAAUGGAUUACCAAGUUGUAAAAAUUAGACAACAAUGAAAUAUUCCCAGCAAUAAUAUUAAACACACUUUUGUUUCGUUUUGUUUUGUUUUUGAGACAGAGUCAGCUCUGUCGCCCAGGCUGGAGAAUAGUGACGUGAUCGCGGCUCACUGCAACCUCCACCUCCCAGGUUCUAG